UGCCAGCAGCCGCGGUAAUACGGAGGGUGCAAGCGUUAAUCGGAAUUACUGGGCGUAAAGCGUGCGUAGGCGGUUUAUUAAGUCAGAUGUGAAAGCCCCGGGCUUAACCUGGGAACUGCAUUUGAAACUGGUAAACUAGAGUAUGGUAGAGGAAAGUGGAAUUUCUGGUGUAGCGGUGAAAUGCGUAGAUAUCAGAAGGAACAUCAAUGGCGAAGGCAGCUUACUAACAAUUAACUGACGCUGAGGGACGAAAGCGUGGGUAGCGAACAGGAUUAGAUA
rnacentral:rRNA from 1 species